CUAAUACAUGCAAGUCGAGCGAACUGACGAGGAGCUUGCUCCUUUGACGUUAGCGGCGGACGGGUGAGUAACACGUGGGUAACCUACCUAUAAGACUGGAAUAACUCCGGGAAACCGGGGCUAAUGCCGGAUAACAUAUCGAACCGCAUGGUUCGAUAGUGAAAGACGGUCUUGCUGUCACUUAUAGAUGGACCCGCGCCGUAUUAGCUAGUUGGUGAGGUAACGGCUCACCAAGGCAACGAUACGUAGCCGACCUGAGAGGGUGAUCGGCCACACUGGAACUGAGACACGGUCCAGACUCCUACGGGAGGCAGCAGUAGGGAAUCUUCCGCAAUGGGCGAAAGCCUGACGGAGCAACGCCGCGUGAGUGAUGAAGGUCUUCGGAUCGUAAAGCUCUGUUGUUAGGGAAGAACAAAUGUGUAAGUAACUAUGCACAUCUUGACGGUACCUAACCAGAAAGCCACGGCUAACUACGUGCCAGCAGCCGCGGUAAUACGUAGGUGGCAAGCGUUAUCCGGAAUUAUUGGGCGUAAAGCGCGCGUAGGCGGUUUUUUAAGUCUGAUG
rnacentral:rRNA from 1 species